AUUCGGGAUUCAGCCAUUCCUAAAUCCCAAUUUCCAAUUUCCCUCUUCUAGGCUUCCCUCUUCUCUAUCCUCUUCCCUCCUCAGCUCUUCCUUUCCCAAGUUUGCAGUUCGCAAGUCGCAACUUUACCGGCAACCGGCACUCCCUGAUUCCCUAUCCCAAUCCCCUUCAGCUUCACCUUCCCUUCCCAGCUCCCUUCCCACUUCGCAAUUUGCACACAGUUGGCAAUGACGAGUUUGAACCUCCUGUUCCAGAUCAGCAGAUCCAGUCUUCCCCUUCUGACUUUGGCUUCCUCCUUCCCAACUUCUCAACUCACAGUACUCCUUUGGGCCUGCCUUCCUUCAGGUGUCAGAUAAUCACCAAGCUUUAUAUAUGAAAAGGGUUUAACCGAGAGCAUUUGUGCCGGUUAACACCAUUGUCUGACAAAAAGAAAGAAUGUAUGAAAGAUUGCAUGACUGCGAUUGUGAAACUACUGGAAUUGCACAGGUUGUUAUGUUUUAUUGUAAAUUAUAUAUAUGAUUGGGACCACAGCUUGUUACUAAAGGAGUUGAAAGACACUCUAAAGGAGUUGAAAGGCACUCCAAGUUAUCUAAAGCUUUAAAUGGAUUGAGGUGCAGUUCCAUUGUUAACUGAGGUACAAUGCAACCACAUAUGUGAAUCAGUGUGGCUAUCGAGAUAGUCGGCUUGCAAGAGUGUAUGGGGCCACUGGUGAAAUAAUAGACCGAGUGGGGCAGCCAGACUAUAUCUGUGAUGCUUGACAGUGCCUGCAUGGAUAGGGCUCUGUCAGAGUUAUCAAUGCACAACCCGUGCCAUGAGGUAAUUAGGCAUAUUUCUAAAAGUUUCAAAGCUGGUCAUUGUCCUAAAUUUUCUAUACAUGAUUUAAAAACUGAAAUGGGCAAAGUCACAGGGGCGAGUAUUGUGUGGAGGGAAUCGUAAAGUGUAUGGGCAUGUACCCUACCCUAACCUCGAGGACUCUCACUUGUAAUGAUGUAGUACUAUGUUUAUAUAUCUUUUAUAGUACUGUACUGUGAAUGUGAUAUUGUGCAACUGUUUCUAAUUGGAAUAAACUAAUGUAGUCACAUGUUGAUGUAAUAUCUUCCACCUUACUAAAAA